GACGAACGCUGGCGGCGUGCUUAACACAUGCAAGUCGAACGGUGAAGCGAGUGCUUGCACUCGUGGAUCAGUGGCGAAAGGGUGAGUAACACGUGAGUAACCUGCCCAUCACUCUGGGAUAAGCACUGGAAACGGUGUCUAAUACUGGAUACGACCAACCCUUGCAUGGGGUGUUGGUGGAAAGAUUUAUCGGUGAUGGAUGGACUCGCGGCCUAUCAGCUUGUUGGCGGGGUAAUGGCCCACCAAGGCGACGACGGGUAGCCGGCCUGAGAGGGUGACCGGCCACACUGGGACUGAGACACGGCCCAGACUCCUACGGGAGGCAGCAGUGGGGAAUAUUGCACAAUGGGCGAAAGCCUGAUGCAGCGACGCCGCGUGAGGGAUGACGGCCUUCGGGUUGUAAACCUCUUUCAGCAGGGAAGAAGCGAAAGUGACGGUACCUGCAGAAGAAGCACCGGCUAACUACGUG
rnacentral:rRNA from 1 species